ACCGGGGCUAAUACCGGAUAACAUUUUGAACUGCAUGGUUCGAAAUUGAAAGGCGGCUUCGGCUGUCACUUAUGGAUGGACCCGCGUCGCAUUAGCUAGUUGGUGAGGUAACGGCUCACCAAGGCAACGAUGCGUAGCCGACCUGAGAGGGUGAUCGGCCACACUGGGACUGAGACACGGCCCAGACUCCUACGGGAGGCAGCAGUAGGGAAUCUUCCGCAAUGGACGAAAGUCUGACGGAGCAACGCCGCGUGAGUGAUGAAGGCUUUCGGGUCGUAAAACUCUGUUGUUAGGGAAGAACAAGUGCUAGUUGAAUAAUCUGGCACCUUGACGGUACCUAACCAGAAAGCCACGGCUAACUACGUGCCAGCAGCCGCGGUAAUACGUAGGUGGCAAGCGUUAUCCGGAAUUAUUGGGCGUAAAGCGCGCGCAGGUGGUUUCUUAAGUCUGAUGUGAAAGCCCACGGCUCAACCGUGGAGGGUCAUUGGAAACUGGGAGAC
rnacentral:rRNA from 1 species